rnacentral:rRNA from 1 species
CACGCUGUAAACGAUGAGGACUAGCUGUUGGUAGACUUCGGUCUGUCGGUAGCGCAGCUAACGCGAUAAGUCUUCCGCCUGGGGAGUACGGCCGCAAGGCUAAAACUCAAAGGAAUUGACGGGGGCCCGCACAAGCGGUGGAGCAUGUGGUUUAAUUCGAUGCAACGCGAAGAACCUUACCUACCCUUGACAUCCUGGGAAUCCUGCAGAGAUGCGGGAGUGCCGCAAGGAGCCCAGAGACAGGUGC